CCCUUAGAUGUCCUGGGCUGCACGCGCGCUACACUGAUGUGUCCAGUAAGCACCUAACCUCUUCCGAAAGGAACGGGUAACCUUUGCAAAGCACAUCGUGAUGGGGAUAGAUUAUUGCAAUUAUUAGUCUUGAACGAGGAAAUCCUAGUAAGCACAAGUCAUCAGCUUGUGUUGAUUACGUCCCUGCCCUUUGUACACACCGCCCGUCGCUCCUACCGAUUGAAUGUUCCGGUGAGCUCUUCGGACUGCGCGGUCUGCAGUUUCUGCGUUCCGUGCGGAAAGUUGCGCAAACCUUAACAUUUAGAGGAAGGAGAAGUCGUAACA
rnacentral:rRNA from 1 species